GAUGAAGAACGUAGCGAAUUGCGAUAAGUAAUGUGAAUUGCAGAAUUCAGUGAAUCAUCGAAUCUUUGAACGCACAUUGCGCCCGCCAGUAUUCUGGCGGGCAUGCCUGUCUGAGCGUCAUUUCAACCCUCAUGCCCCUAGGGCGUGGUGUUGGGGAUCGGCCAAAGCCCGCGAGGGACGGCCGGCCCCUAAAUCUAGUGGCGGACCCGUCGUGGCCUCCUCUGCGAAGUAGUGAUAUUCCGCAUCGGAGAGCGAUGAGCCCCUGCCGUUAAACCCCCAACUUUCCAAGGUUGACCUCAGAUCAGGUAGGAAUACCCGCUGAACUUAAGCAUAUCAUAAGCGGAGGA
rnacentral:misc_RNA from 1 species